GUGGCUUUAACUCAGUUGGUAGAGUAUCACACUUUUAAUGCGAGAGUCAUGGGUUCAAGUCCCAUAAGUCACA
rnacentral:tRNA from 1 species